rnacentral:rRNA from 1 species
GACGAACGCUGGCGGCGUGCUUAACACAUGCAAGUCGAGCGGUAAGGCCCUUUCGGGGGUACACGAGCGGCGAACGGGUGAGUAACACGUGGGUGACCUGCCCUCAGCUCUGGGAUAAGCCUGGGAAACCGGGUCUAAUACUGGAUAUGACUCCAUGACGCAUGUUGUGGGGUGGAAAGCCUUGUGCGGCUGAGGAUGGGCCCGCGGCCUAUCAGCUUGUUGGUGGGGUGANGGCCUACCAAGGCGACGACGGUAGCCGGCCUGAGAGGGCGACCGGCCACACUGGGACUGAGACACGGCCCAGACUCCUACGGGAGGCAGCAGUGGGGAAUCUUGCGCAAUGGG